UGUCGAAACAGCUUUCCAGUGACUGUCACACGCUUCAGCUUGCCCGAAGGUGUCCUGACUUGUUAGGAGAGAGAAGCAGGAGGAAUGGAAGAAGAACAAGCCCAGGGAUCUGAAGCCUCAGCCAUGACUGCUGAACUCAACACAAAGCCACUGACUGAAGGGAAAAGAGACUCAGACAAAGAAUCUAUGUUAAAAGUGAUCAAAAAUUCUGAUGGACAGUUUAACCUUGAGGCUGCAAUUAAAAAUGUUGAUACAAUGGCCAAUGAACUUAAGAAAAUAAAUGUGGAAAGCCAGCUACUGCUUUGUGACCUGAUUUUGAAUUUCAACCAUCCUGUGAAGGCCAAAGAUUUAAGAGAAGCUGAAGAAAAGACUUGGAGUUUGACAGAUUAAGUAACAUCCAUUUUUAUGUAUUGUCUUCUAUUAAUGCUGAUGAAACUGCUGCUUUUUCUUCUUUCUUCUUCAUCUUCCUUCUUUUAAUUAAGUUUGGACUGUUCAAUGAUAGCAUGGUUUCCUGCAGUUAAACUAUUUUUAUUUUAAGCUUAACAUGUGAAAUGGAAAAAAAGAGUAGGUUAUUGGUUCUGAGAGGGGUUUUUCAACCCACAUUUCCCAAAUUAAGCCCACUAGGACUGGAAAGACUGAUGUAAUUAAUUAAAAAGGUUAAGACACUGGGCAUGAAGUUUUUUCAGGUGAUUUUCUCCUUUUAAACAGAGACAUGUUGGAACAGUAACAAAAGAUUUGAAAUUUGCUUCAAGUCACUGCUCUCUUAUCUCAGUUGUGCUCAGAGAAACAGAAAGAAAGAAAUAAACUAUCAGUGAAGGAGGAACUGCA
rnacentral:lncRNA from 1 species